GUUUCUCUGUCAGAGGAAGGAGGUGUUUUUUUUCUUAAUUAACAUUAAGAAAGAUUACAUACAUGGACCUCACACCUGUGUGUACCUAGAAACAAAUGUUGUUCUUAGGAUUGAAAAAGUCUGACAAUCCUGUGAAAUCUUAAUCUGAAUUGUUUUAGAAGAGGAUGGUUUACUCUAAACUUUCAAAAGCUAAUGACCCUGUCCUUAAAAUCCUCUGAAGUGUAUCAAAACAGAAAAACAUUAAAAUAUUUCUCUGUGCAAAUUUUAUCAGAUAUGUGACUGUAUUCUGUUGUAUUAAAAUGUGAAAUGUGUAUCUUUGUCAUUCAAAAGCAGUUUUAAGCUGGGAAUUGGCAAAAGCAUCAGGAGCUGAGACAAUAUCAGUUGAUAAUGGUACAUGAUUUAAUGAAGUCAUGUUAUACUGAAUAAUCGCAUAUACUUAUGUUUCUCAGUGUAAAUUUUACUUACAUGUGACUAUCAAUACUACCCACCAAUCAAACUGAAAAGUUGCCAUAUUCUUUUAAAUGAUUUAUCCUUUGAGACUACACUAUUUUAAACACUUCUUAAAAUUCACCUAUAUCUGAAACAUCAACGUAAACAUCCAAGUAUUAGCAUAUAAGGUAUAUCCUAUAUGUUGUUGCUACUAACAUCUUGAACUUUACAGCAAAACCUUAUUAAAAACACAAUCUGGAUCAAGUGUAUUUCCCUAUGUGAACUAUGGAACGUUUCUUUCCCUAAAAAAUUCAGAAUGUCUAUAAUGUAAUACCAAUCAUGUAAUGAGGAUCUCCUGAUUUUUAAAAUUACAAGUUUUCCUCCUCCCCCCAUACAUCACACAAGCUUUUAUUCACAUCCCUCAGUUGAAUAAAAAUGAGUUUGACUC